CCUACGGGAGGCAGCAGUGAGGAAUAUUGGUCAAUGGCCGGAAGGCUGAACCAGCCAUGCCGCGUGAAGGUCAGUGCCCUAUGGGCGUUAAACUUCUUUUGUGCGGGAGCAAUAAUGGUCACGUGUGGACAGACGAGCGUACCGUACGAAUAAGCAUCGGCUAACUCCGUGCUAGCAGCCGCGGUCAUACGGGGAAGGCAAGCGUUAUCCGGAUUUAUUGGGUUUAAAGGGUGCGUAGGCUGGGAGAUAAGUCAGCGGUGAAAUGCGCCCGCGCAACGGGGUGCAGUGCCAUGGAUACUGCCUUGCUGGAAUGCGGAUGCGGAGGGAGGAAUGUGUGGUGUAGCGGUGAAAUGCAUAGAUAUCAGACAGAACACCGAUUGCGAAGGCAGCUCACGAAUCCGCGAUUGACGCUGAUGCACGAAAGCGUGGGUAUCAAACAGGAUUAGAUACCCGGGUAGUC
rnacentral:rRNA from 1 species